AGGGUGUUGCUCUGUAGGACUUACUCUCCACAGACUGAGAAGGACAGACAAACACAGUCACUGGUGGCAUCUUAAGCUGCAGGGAGCACAAGGCAAUGAAGCUCAGGAUUUGGAGGAAGUCUGGAAAUAAAACUGCAGAACUAGGGUUCUAGACUUUGCAGAGAACAGACCUGGUUAUUCAAGGAAUUGCUAAGCAAAGUCCUCUGUGAAGCAGCCAUGCAGCAGCAGGGUAUCCAACAGAGCUGGGUGACUCCUUCAAAGUGAACUCAUUGAUGGAUUGUGAACAAGGCAGAACCUUCUCCCUGAUCUCUGCCAGUAUCAGAACAGUUCAGGAAGGAGCCAGUGCUGUGAGAACAAGCUAGAAACUGCUUCAUCUGGACAUAUUCAUAUUCCUGGGACUGACCUAAAGGUGCUGGAAACGUUGGCUGCUGUAGUUGCCUUCCUGGCUGCUGUGAUUCCAAGACUGCUGUGUAUUGUCUGUGAAAAAUAUUGAUGAAUGGAAAAAGCAAACAAUAAAGUCAUGUUCAAGAAUGGCAAGAAAUAGGAUCUGGAAUGCUAUCAGCUGCUGGCUUACCUCAGUCCCUGCAAAGAUUAUGGUGCAUGAUCCUCUCUUGGAACCCAUUUCUAAAUUCAAACAGGACAAGGAGGGAUAACAGAGGAUUUUCUGAAAAACUACUGGAAUAAGAGACAAAAUUGCCAUUAUGAACAAGGAGAAGUGGAUAAUGAGCUAUGGCACACAUUAGGAAGGUGUGGUCAAACAAUUGGAGGAAUUUAUUAUAACCCUCUGCAUGGCUCUGGUGAGACUACGUC